rfam:Kluyvera intermedia strain CAV1151, complete genome.
UUGACGGUGCUGCUUUUUCGACCUAAAUUAAAGGAACAAGGGUGAGAGGGGGUUUCUCCCCCCUCUGAUUGACUGUUAGUAAGCGUGGAAACUUAUCGUUAACAGAACAAUCAGUAUGAUGACGUGCUUCAUCAUAACCCUUUCCUUAUU